rnacentral:lncRNA from 1 species
UAUCUGCCACAAUGACCAUGUGGAUCCCAGAAAACAAUCUUGUGGAGUCAGUUCCUCUCCUCCAUCCUUCUUUGGAUUCAACUCAGGUCUCCAGGCUCACGUGGAUGGCAGAUGAGUCUAGACCAUGCAAAUGCCAGGAGAAGAGCCAAAAGGCAAAAUAUCUCCGUGCCAUCUCACACACCGAGAGCCCCCCCCAGAAGCCUCUGGGUUUCAUUUCCUCCAUCAGGAGCUCAGAUAACAGCAGCAGAGACAAUCACACACGAGUUAAGAAUGCAAAUACAGUUCUCAUUCCUUCUUAUGCUUUCUGUGCUGCUGGGGAUUGAACUCGGGACCUGUAAUAUCCCACACAGAUACUCUCUACUACUGAAUUACAUCUUCAGCCUGACAUUUUAAGGAAAAACACGGAGAAAAAUGGUAUCAUAUUGAAUAAAUCCUGGCUCUUCAAAACAAA